CACGUAGGGUGCGAGCGUUGUCCGGAAUUAUUGGGCGUAAAGAGCUCGUAGGCGGUGUGUCGCGUCGGCCGUGAAAACUUGCAGCUCAACUGCGAGCCUGCGGUCGAUACGGGCAGGCUAGAGUUCGGUAGGGGAGACUGGAAUUCCUGGUGUAGCGGUGAAAUGCGCAGAUAUCAGGAGGAACACCGGUGGCGAAGGCGGGUCUCUGGGCCGAUACUGACGCUGAGGAGCGAAAGCGUGGGGAGCGAACAGG
rnacentral:rRNA from 1 species